GUAUUGUAUUGCGUUAAACGCGUCAUGCAUUCCAUGAGACUUCGUUACAGAGUGUGUGUAAAAACAUAGGACCACGACAGGAGGACAGAGUCCCCCAUGCCAUGGAACUACAGAGGGUGCACAGGUGUGAGUGGAUGUGUGAACAGAGCGUGCACAUGCCCCCGUUUUGAGGACCAGCAACAACUCGUGUCGACGGUUCGGUAAUGAUCCUUCCGCAGGUUCACCUACGGAAA
rnacentral:misc_RNA from 1 species